AAUGACGCUGAUCACCGACUUAAUAGAAAAUGUCACCACCAGUCACAGGAUUGUUCUUCUGGGUCACGGUCAAGCUGAAAACUUUAGCUUCCUUUAGUUUAAAUAUGAUAAUGAGAGUUGUUGGGUGUUCAAACUAGAACCAUUUCUGUGGCUGGACAAUGAGAUUACAGCUGCGUUUCUGGCUGAGAAUGCCAAUACAAUCUGCAAGCGGUGCCGCCCAACUAGGCCGAAGCACUACCCGUGGUGUGGUGCACGGCUCGAAAUUGCCACCGAGCGCUGUGCUUAAAGUUAAAAGUAUUUCAACUUUGACCUUGGUUGCCGCUGACCUUAUAUGACCCUGAUGUUUUACCUGUGGCCUCUGCAAGGUUCUACGCCCUACCUCGCAGUGAGUGAAGAGCAAAUGUCUUAUGUAAAGACAGCUUAAGUGUUACUCCAAAAUAUUGAUAUACUGUAAACCUCAACUAGUCAGUCAUUUUAAACGAUGGUGAGAUUUUAAGGUUAACAUCGUGUCGCAUGUGUGCCUGAAUGUUUGGCCGUUUUGAGCACUUGUUAUUGAUUUGACUCGAGUCUGUCCUCUGCUUUGG